GUAGUCGUGGCCGAGUGGGUAAGGCGAUGGACUUGAAAUCCAUUGGGGUCUCCCUGCGCAGGUUCGAAUCCUGCUGACUAAUUCCA